rnacentral:rRNA from 1 species
UACGUAGGCAGCAAGCGUUGUUCGGAGUUACUGGGCGUAAAGGGUGUGUAGGCGGUCUUCUAAGUUUGGUGUGAAAUCUCCCGGCUCAACUGGGAGGGUGCGCCGAAAACUGGGAGGCUAGAGUGCGGGAUGGGAGAGUGGAAUUCCUGGUGUAGCGGUGAAAUGCGUAGAUAUCAGGAGGAACACCAAUGGCGAAGGCAGCUCGCUGGAACGGUACUGACGCUGAGAAGCGAAAGCAUGGGGAGCGAACAGG